ensembl:lncRNA
CAGCGAUAAAGAAGAUCAGUUGGUGCCAGGGGCUGGGAUGAGGAGAGUGAGGAGUGACCGACUAGUAUAGACAGGGCUUCUCUUUGAUGAAAAUGUCCUGGAACAGAUAGCAAAGGGGCUUGUGCAACACUGUGAAUGUACUUAAUGCCACGUAAGUGUACAACUUAAAACGAUCAAAGAGGUAAAUUUUAUUUUAAGGGAAUUUUAUACACUAGAAUAGAGUAAAAUAUUGAGUAUAUAUAAGAAAAAAACAAAAUUUUAAAAAGUGGAAUUAUAGGGGAGGGGAAGGAAGUCUCUGGGGCUGCAGCUGGCACUAGUUGCAGCUAAGGACCGGGACCUGGAGAUGCUGCAGGGGCUGGUGCUAGUUGUUGAGCUGGUACCAGCUCUAGUAUACUGGGGGAGGAACUGGAUCUGGCACUGGAGUAACUAUAAGAACUGGGUCUAUUGUUGUCUCUAGAUCUAGAGCUGGAACCAGAUUACGCUCUGGAGCUGGAGCUGUGCCAAAGCACUAUGGAGCUCAAGAACUAAUGGUAGGGCUCUUGCUGGUGUAGGCUUAAGCUCUGGAAUCGAGGCUAUGGACGGAAGUGGCUAGAGUUCUGGAGCAAAUACUAGAACAGGUUUUUGUGAUGGUUCUAGCUAUGGAGCUUGGGUGAGAGCUGUUGCUUGAAUUCCUCUGGCUCUGGAAUUGGAGCCUGCGUACAUGCUUCUUCUAGCUCUAGAGCUUAAACGAAAACUGGGCCUGAGUCUGAUCUGGCUCUGGAGCUGUAGUGGGCAGUUGAGUUGGAGCUGGUGCUAGCUCUUGAAGUGGUUCUAGGGCUUGUUGUGGAGCUGGUGCUGUAGCUCCAAGAAAAGAAAAUACCAUCCACAUGAUUACCUUUCCAUGUGCCCUCCAAAGACAGGAAAUCUCUCACUGCCAGUUACUGAAGUCUCUGUCCAAGAACGCACCCCCAGGAGGUCUUCCCAGACUGCAGUCCAGGUGAAUAGUGAUCUGAGGCUACUCAUUGCUCCUCGCCCAACCUCAGCCUCUGGAGGCUCAGCUUUGUGUGACCCAACACUCUCCCCUCCCCACAGCCCACAUCACUCAAGUCUCCUCACCCUCAGUCCUCCUUACCCUUGGCAUCAAUGGACUCAUGAAGCUCUAGGUUUUUGCCAGGAGGAGGUAGGCAUGGCACUCUAGGUCCAAGCAGGGCAUGUUGAGCUCUACAUAGGACAAUAGCAUCUUCAGGUAGGGAAAUUCUGGGGGCUGGUGAAAAUCCUUAGAGUCCUGGUCCAAUCAGGUGCCCAGGAUGGAGAUUAUGGCCCGGGGGCUAGUUGGGUGGGCAGCAGAGUCAGAAGCCUGGCCUUUCCUUCCACACAGCCCUCCCAGGGCAUCCCUGUGGGGAUCUGGGCCUCUGUCCUUCUGUUCCUGUCCACCCAGAGGCCUAGUCCAUGUCCAACUCACUUCUGGCAGCCCUGGCAGAGGCAGGCCUGGUCACCAAGGAGGGGCUGGCAAAAAGUCUUCAUAUUGAGAGCCCUUGAUCAAUGGUGUGAUUACCUCUCUUCUUCUUCAGGGAAGCCUGACACACUGGUCUAUCUGUCUCCCCGACACUCCCCACUGGUACGUCAACUCCAUGAGGACAGGGAGAGAUGUCUGCUCAUUCACUGCACUUGCUGACACAGUCAGUUCUCCAUGAGUAUCUGACCAAUAAGGGAACAAACAGACUCUGUCUCCUGCCCAGGAUUCCCAGGGCUUUCCUAAUAUCUCAAACUUUACCUCCUGUAUCUACCUGCUGCCUAAUUCUCUAGAUGCUCCAUGUGGGUCUCCUCCUGCCACUGCCACUCAUCUUCCACAGUGUGGGUUCAGCCAGCCCCUGAGCUCUCACUGAGUACCCUGAGCAACAGCUGAGCACCCACUGUUGAGGUUCCACCAGAUUCACGAGCAGGAUGCUCUCCACACCUCCUGUUCUGAGUCCUCGGGUGGGGGUUAAUGCAGGGCUGGGAUGGGGAGGGGACAGGUAUGGAUUCUUUCAGGGGCUGACUCUGUCCUCUGAUCUUUCUGGUGCUCCCCACAGUACCCACAGCCCCACCCACAGCUCUCUUUGACUUCUAUCUUCUUUGCCAGGAGGAGUCCUCAGACCUUGGCCCUCAAGCAGGAAUCAUAAGAUGUGUGGAAUUCAGUACUCUGCCAGCCCUUCCCCAUCCACAGAACCCUACAACUCCACGCAGUUUGUUGGAGAAGGGAGUUGCUGCUUCUUGAACCAAAGCCCACUUACUUUUUCAGUUGGUCUAGGGGUCUGCCAUCCUCAUCAGAGUAAGGGAGGAUGCAUCCACAUCUAGAGGAGGCCAGGAGGGCAUCACAUUGACUGUGCUGUGGACACUACCUGCUUUUGACGUCUAGUGUAACAUUCUGACUCCCAACUAGAAUGGAAACUCUGGAGGGCAGAAUUAUGGUCUGCUCUCUGCACUGGCUUAUAGUCAGUUCUAGAAAUGUCCUGCACCUAGUGGGGCUUGUUAUAUUUUUGAUAAAUGAAUGAACUCCAACGGGCCUCAUCAGAGAUAACUGAGUGGGCCUGGGGACCCACUGCUCACCUGCAAGAACCCUUUGUCUGGCUUCGUCCAAACAAGGACCCACUGAGGGAAUCUCAAUCACCUUUUCAAGUGGGAAAACAGCUCAGCCCAAGGCCACGGGGAGAGUGAUGAAUGAGGCAGAGGCUUCCUCAUGGGAAUGAGGAAAAUGAUAAAUUAGCACAACCACAGGCCCUGCAACAGGUCCUGGUCCACAGGGCCAGGCACUCAGACAGCACUUUCCAGGGAGGACCCACUUAGUCCCUACAAUAACCCAAUGAUAUUGAUCCUCUAUUCGCCCUACUGUUCAGAGCAGCAAACUGAGGCUCAGAGAGGUGCAGUGGCAUUCUGAAGGCUCACAGCUCGUAGAUGGUUGAAUCACCAGUGUCCCAUGAAGGGGCAAAGUGCUCACUUUUGAACAGCAGGUCAAGUGCUAUUGGUUGGUGGCAAAAGCUCUGCAGGUACCCAGGAAGGUGGGCACGUAUGAGGGAUCACUGCCCAGGAAGACAGGCACCAGGUCUCCACCUGCUUUUCCGGCCUGCCUCCCUGGACGGUCCACACCAUGCAGGUCUCAUUCCUGUUCACUGUGGACACAUUUUCACCAUGGGGUGGGACAGAGGAAGGAUAUGCAGCCAGAGCAGCACUGUGGACACCAGGAGUCAGGUAGGAGCUCAGAACAAAUCUCCAAACCAGGUGACCUGUGGCAGGAGGUGGGAAAUGAGUGCCCUCAGCAGAAAAAGGGUUCUUGGUAUUAAAGUAGAAUUUGAGGUGGGGAAGGGUUAAAUACAUUAGUAUCUAAGGUUGUUUUGUUAGCAGAGUAUUGACAGCACCUCUCUGUACCACCUGCACCACCCCUGUGAUCCCUGAUAUAACAUCCCAUUCUAGAGAUGAGAACACAGAGGCUUAUCCUGGGGUGGGAGGGAUCAGGAUGUUAAGACAUGUAGGAUGGUCAUGCGGCAUGUUGAAAUGGCGAGAGAUGGGAACCAGGUCAAGCUCCCCCAUCAGUGAAGGGCUGACUCGCUGUGGUACCUGGUCUCCCUUCUGGAAUGUUGUGCAGCCAAGUGAGCCCAGCCCCCGACCUGGAGGGGCCACGGGGAUGAGCUCCUUGAGACGAUAAGUUGCAGAGAAACAGACAUAGUACCAUGAGCCCAUGUGGUUUUGAUGAUGUGUAAGACCUGGAGAAGGUGUGGAAGGCUUGACAGGCCAACAUGGACACCUGCGGACAGGAGUUAAAACAGGAAAAUCUGUAGAAAAAUGCAAACAAAUUUGAUAUCAUGUGAAGCGAAAUCCUAUAAAAGUCUGUUUGCUGAUAUUCCUACAAAUAUGUGGACGGUGAUUUUGCAUGUGGCCACAAGCAGGGCUAGGCAGUGAGGGUGUGUUGGGGGAGGACUUGGGGACCCAGAUUCCUUUGGGAGCAGGACUCUAGAAGGGAGCCCAGGGGAGUAGCAGGGCAGCUUCUGGGGCCCAGGGCCCCCUUUGGCUGUAUCAGGGUCCUGGGUGUGGAGUCUCCUCCUCGCCUGCACUCACCAUGAGCCAGCGCCAGACUUUGUGGCAGGUGUGGGGCACCUGCACCCCUGCAGGGAGAUGGAGUAGAGGACCCCACUGAUCAGGAGCCUGCCCCACCUCCUGGGUGGAGCUCUGGAAAGGCAGUGCCCGGCAGCCAGGCAGAAGCCUCAGACCGGCUGGCUCUUUGCUGCUUCUCAGACCACGAGAUGUCUCCACUUCAGACACACACACACACCACACUCUGCACAGACCUCCCCCAAGGAGACAGAAAAGAUGACAGCCUGAGGGCCUUGGAUUCACACAGGCACAGAUAAGAGACACCUCCGCAAUCCCCUUGCCACCGUGCCAGUCCAGCAGUGUGACCACUCAGGGCCACCAGGUAUCACUUCCCAGGGUGUGCCCUCCCUUCAUGUCCCUCUUCCCCCGACGCUGAAGAGGAGGGGAUGUGGGGCCGCCCAGGGAGUGCUCAGAGGUGGCCUGGCCUGGAUUGGCCUGCCCUAGGCUGCCUUGUGUUACCCUAGGGGACCUCCUGGCAAAUGGCCAGAGGUGUCUGGGUCGAGGGUUGAACCAAUGUCUGCAGCUUCUGAAAAGACUCUCACUCCAGGCUUUCCCGAAGCAAGAGCCCCGUUAAGUAGGGGCCCAGCAGAGAACACAUUUCUAACUGAAGUGUCUCUGGCCAAGUGGGCUAGGAAUGGGACUGUCACUGGAAUGUGGGUGCCUGGUUACAGAGCUUCCAAGUUCUGUGGGAGUCUAUUGCCAAGGAAAUGACUUCACUUUGGGAUCCCCUUACCUGAGUCCCCUUCUCAGACACCUAUCCAAACAGCCCUCUGGGCUGCUGACUGCUCACCCCCCUUCUCCAUGUUACACCAACACACUCCUCUCCACGAGGCCCUGGGUGCUGCCAGGGUCCCAGCUUUGAGGAGACAGACCUGAGUUCAGACUCAACUCCUCAUUCAUACCUGUUCUUGAUCCUGGAUAAGUCAUUGUGCCUUUCAGGGGCUGUCUGUCUCCCAACAUGCACAAUGGGGAUUAUUCUAGCAUGGACUUCUAGGUAUGUCCUCAGGUGUAUGUAGGAUAAUACCUAUAAAAUUGGAGGGGUGGUAUCCCAUGUGGGUAGUGUCUCCAAUCUCUUUUUUCUCCCUCUGGUCACCUCUCUUGUGUCUGCUCCUCUUCUGACUCCACUCAUAGUUUUUAUCUAAUGUCGUGUGUGUGUGUGUGUGUGUGUGUGUGUGUGUGUGUGUGUGUGUGUCUGUGCUCACAGUCUUGAUGCUCAGAAGAAAACAGUACUCAUAGGGUUGGACAAGAGCUUCCUAAAAUCUCAGGGUUUCUAAU